CCAAGAACGGAGGAAACACCAUCUCUCUCUCUCUCUGGGGCAGCUGGAAUGACAAGGCAGAAACAUUCUCCUUCUACGAAGAGAACGUGCCUUAUUCAUAUCUGAAUUCCCGGGAUCUAGCCCACCGUUUGCCACACGGAUGGGUCUACAAUCCGUGAAUAAUGGAAAAGUUGGCCGACAUGGGAAGGUUGACGAAUGGACCCACUCUAGAAGUUACUGGAGGAGCUUCGGGACU